rnacentral:rRNA from 1 species
UACGUAGGGUGCGAGCGUUAAUCGGAAUUACUGGGCGUAAAGCGUGCGCAGGCGGUUAUGUAAGACAGGUGUGAAAUCCCCGGGCUUAACCUGGGAACUGCGCUUGUGACUGCAUAACUCGAGUGUGGCAGAGGGGGGUGGAAUUCCGCGUGUAGCAGUGAAAUGCGUAGAUAUGUGGAGGAACACCAAUGGCGAAGGCAAUCCCCUGGGCCUGCACUGACGCUCAUGCACGAAAGCGUGGGGAGCAAACAGGAUUAGAAACCCGGGUAGU